ACGCGCCCUCGGACCCUGUCCACGCUCCCGUUUCACUAGCGGGUCCUUCCCGUCCCUUUCCGCGCCCCGGCCAUCCGUCCUGUCGUUCCCGAGGUCCUCCAUUACUGCUGACCCUCCGACCACUCUCCAUCCUCUCUGUCCCUCACUUCCCCUGCCGUUGGUUCCUCAUCCGUCAGCUUCAACCCUCACUCCCUCUGCUCCCCUGCCCAUCCGCUCCGCUCCUCACACAGCCCUCACCUGUCCCUCCACCUCACCCCUCUGCCUUCUCACUCCCUGUCCCGUCCAUCCUCUCUGUCCCUAUCUUCCCCUGCCUCCAGCCUCCUCUGCUCCCCUGCCCAUCCGCUCCGCUCCUCACACAGCCCUCACCUGUCCCUCCACCUCACCUCUCUGCCUUCUCACUCCCUGUCCCGUCCAUCCUCUCUGUCCCUAUCUUCCCCUCCCUCCAGCCUCCUCUGCUUCCCUGCCCAUCCGCUCCGUCUCUCCUCCUCCUGCCUCCUCUCCACUCUGCCCCAUCCACACUCCCCUCAGUUCCCCUAAUAGCGCCUUACACUCCCCUCCGCAGCCCGGCACCCUGCCCUCCAUCCGCCUCUGCUCCAUCGCCAUAUCCUAUCCCCCUUUCUCUAUUAUCUCCGUCGCUUUCUCUGUUCCAGUCUCCUGAGCGAGCCCUCGUCACCACAUGUGAUGUUGUUUGCGAAUAUUUUCUCACAAGAUCUUCGAGAACAUUUCCAAUUUCCCUUUCCAUUACCCUAUUCCUGCUGGUAAAUUUACCCCUCUGUCUCUCUCUAUGUCAAACACAGUGAGUACGUGAAGGAUUGAGGCUCCUUCAAGCAGAAGUUUGUUAAGAUUACACUCGUGUUUUGCAGUAUUUCUGCCAUUUGGAUGUGAUAUUUACAUCUUUGUCCUGAUAGGGUGACUUUGGUUAAUAAUUUCCUUUGUAAUCGGUGACUUUAGCGAUUAACGCGGAGUUUCUGAUCCCUGUUCCAACCGACGUGAUUGAAUCCGAAUCGGGUUUAUUUUCACUGAUUUGUGUAUUAUCACCUGAAAUGUGUUUUGUGGCAGCAGUACAGUGCGAUACGUUUUAAAAAGACAAAGUUGUCCGUUGUGUCCGACGAUGACAGGAGACCUGUGCAGGAGUUUUUUAAAUGGAAAAGCCUGACGCUGGGGCAGUUCAAGCGUCACAACUGAGGUCUUUCUUGUUUGCAGUGGAUGUCGGUGACUUACUGUGCUCCCCACCCAGUGUUGUAGAACUGCCUUCCUGGUCUUUGGGUCUCACCUGCCUGUCUGCUGGAGCCGACUUUGCAUGCUAGGGCCCACCUGGACUAGAUAUCUGAGGGGAAGAAACGAUUCCUAAAGUCGUGAAUGUGUGUCUUCAGGCUCCUUCUCCUCGAUGUAGAUGUGAUCUGCCCAGUCCAUCAGUGAAAAAUUUACUAAAAUCCCUCCACAGCUCUGUUCUUGAAAGUGAGUCCAGAAGUUGUGUUGAGUGAUCGGGUCAGUGUCGAGGUGAGUGAAGUUCUCCAUGUAACCCUGAAAUGAUGGUGGAACACAACCUGUGUUCAGCUCAGCGAAGCAAAGAAUGGUAAGUUUCAGCUGUUUGUUCACCACCACUUGAUCUAUUAGCUGAUUUUAUUGAACCACUACCAACUAGCAUGCUGUAAUCAUUAUUCUGACUUUCAGUGAAACUCACUUCUCUCAAAAACCUCCUCACCCACUCUGCACAGGAACCCUGGAAUCAGUCUAUUACAGUAAAAAAAAAUGCUUAAAGUAAAGCUCAUGGUUUGAUUAAAUAAUUAUGGGUUGGAUUUAUGAGGGAUAUUAUGCAAUCUUGCGAUGUCAAAUCCUUUCAAAGCACUUUACGAGUUAUCUCGAGAGGAUUUGAUUUUAUUGGUAAAUGUUGAUAAUUGCAGAGUUAUCCUUACUCUAUGAGAUUAAAAAGUUAUUGCCAACAUUCUUCAGAAUUCAUUGUGCUCUUUCAGAUUCAGAUUUAUAUAUCCAAAGCAAUACACACAACAUGCUGGAGGAACUCAGCAGAUCAGGCAGCAUACAUGGAAAUGAAUAAACAGUUGAUGUUUCGGGCCAAGACCCUUCUUCAGGACUGGAAAGAAAGGGGGAAGAUGCCAGAGUAAAAAAAUGGAAGCAGGGGGUGACAGAGUAGUUGGAAGGUGAUGGGUGAAGGCAGGUGGUUGGAAAAGGUAAAGAGCUGGAGAAGAAGGAAUUUGAUAGGAGAGGAGAGUGGGCCAGGGGAGAAAGGGAAGGAAGAGGGACAUCGGGGGCAGUGAUAGGCAAGUGAGAAGAGGUAAGAGAAUAGAGUGGAGUGGAGAAUAGCAGAGGGGAAGAGGAAGAAAACAUUUUUUUAAACCAGAAGGAGUAAUCUAUAUUAAUGCUGUCAGGUUGGAGGCUACGCAGAUGGAAUAUAAGAUGUGACCUCAUCAUGCAACAAGAGGAGACCAUGGACUAACAUGUCGGAAUGGGAAUGGACACUUAAAAUAUCGGGCCACUGGGAAAUUCCUUUUUUUUUUUUGGUGGAUGGAGUGGAGGUGCUCAACAAAGUGGUCCUCCAAUGUAUUAAUCACCUGUCCAUCAGAACGUAGAGUGAAAUGUAUCAUUUGCAUGAACAACCUGAGGGUGGGCUGGGGGCAGCCCGCAAGUGUUGCCGCACAUCGGGAUGGCUUCGUUACCGCCGCGUGUUGUGAAAUCAGUUGUUUUGUGGCUGCAGUACAUUGCAAUACAUGAUAGAUCUGUAAUGGUGUGGGGUGGGAUAUAAACCAUUGGGGUGGAGAAUUGGCAGAUGGACUGUAAUCCUGGUAAGUGUGAGGUGGUGCACUUGGGUUGGUCAAAUGUAAGGAGAGGGUAAACCCGUAAUAACAGGAGAUGUUCAGAGUGAUCUUGAGAAGCAGGUUCAUAGCGGCCUGAAAGUGGUUACACAGGGUGAUAGGGUGGUUAAGAGGGCAGAGAGCUGAGUUCAAGAGUCAGGAAGUUAUAUUGCAGCUUUAUAAAGCUCUAGUUAGGCCACAUCUGGAGUAUUGCAUACAGUUUCACUUUCAAAUCUCUUACUGUCUUUCCUUUUGGUUAGUCCUGAUGAAGGGUCUCGGCCCGAAACGUCGACAGCGCUUCUCCCUAUAGAUGCUGCCUGGCCUGCUGUGUUCCACCAGCAUUUUGUGUGUGUUGUUGUUUAUUGCAUACAGUUCUGGUCGCCCCGUUAUAGCGAGGAUGUCAAGAUUCUGGAGGAGUUGGAAGAGGUUCACCAGGAUGCUGCCUGGCUUAGAGAGUAUGUCCUAUAACGAGAGUUCUGACAAACUUGGGUUGUUUUCUCUGGAGUGGCAGAGGCCGAGGGGAGUUCUGAUAGAGGUUUAGACUGAGAGGCAUAGAUGGAGUAGACAGACAGUAUCAUUUUGCCUGGGUUGAAGUGUCCAAUACCAGAGGGUGUGUACUUUGGUUGAGUUCAGGGUGCUUGUGGAGCAAGUUUUAUUGGGCAGGGUGAGGUGGAUGCCUGGAGUGCUCUGCCAGGGGAGGCGGUGAGGGCAAAUACAGUAGGUUGUGUGGUACAAGAAGCUGUCAGGUAGGCACAUUUGGGUGAUAUGGACAUGGCGUCAGCAGGCGAUUUGCUUCAUUGAGCAUUUAAUCACCAUCUCGGCAUACCAUCGUGGCUGGAGGACUCGCUCCUGUGCAGCUCUGUCCUGCAUUCUCAGUUAUUACUUGAGGAGAGAAAGAUAUUCAUCUUCAACCACCUUGUUUGUGCUCCUUCCCCUCCCCCCACCUUCUGAAUCUGGCUUCUUCCCUCUUGCUUUCCAGUCCUGACGAAGGGUCCCGGCCCUAAACAUCGACUGUUUAUUCCUCUCCAUAGAUGCUGCCUGGCCAGCUGAGUUCCUCCAGCAUUGUGCGUGUGUUGUUCUGAGCUUCCAGCAUCUGCAGAAUCUUUUGUGUGUAAAUUAGAUGUUACUGUGGCCUUUUCCUUCUGUCUUCUGUCCCAGCAGAGGAUCUCAAGAAAUUGGAAUCAGUUUAUUCUCGUCACUGAGAUCCAGUGAAAAGCUUGUCUCACACACUGUUCAUACAGAUCAGAUCAUUACCCAGUGCACUGAAGUAGAACAAGGGAAAACACUAACAGUGCAGGAUAAAGUGUAACGGCUACAGAGAAAGUGCAGUGCAGAUAAACUUUAAAGAGCGAGAUCACAACGAGGAGUAUUUUGAGGUCAAGAGGACAUUUUAUCGUACAACAGGUCACUGUUCAAGAGUCUGAUAACAGUGAGGUAGAACCUGGUGGGACAUACUUUCAGGAUUUUGUAUCUUCUGCCUGGAGGAGGGAAAAGAGAGACUGUCCGGGGGUAGGUGGAGUCCUUGAU